rnacentral:rRNA from 1 species
CCCAGACUCCUACGGGAGGCAGCAGUGGGGAAUAUUGCACAAUGGGGGGAACCCUGAUGCAGCGACGCCGCGUGGGUGAAGGAGCGUUUCGGCGCGUAAAGCCCUAUCGGCAGGGAAGAAGGAGGACGGUACCUGACUAAGAAGCCCCGGCUAACUACGUGCCAGCAGCCGCGGUAAUACGUAGGGGGCAAGCGUUAUCCGGAUUUACUGGGUGUAAAGGGGGCGCAGACGGCAGCGCAAGCCAGGAGUGAAAGCCCGGGGCCCAACCCCGGGACUGCUCUUGGAACUGCGCGGCUGGAGUGCAGGAGGGGCAGGCGGAAUUCCUGGUGUAGCGGUGAAAUGCGUAGAUAUUAGGAGGAACACCAGUGGCGAAGGCGGCCUGCUGGACGAUGACUGACGCUGAGGCUCGAAAGCGUGGGGAGCAAACAGGAUUAGAUACCCGAGUA